rnacentral:rRNA from 1 species
UGGCGGACGGGUGAGUAACGCGUGGGUAACCUGCCUCAUACAGGGGGAUAACAGUUAGAAAUGACUGCUAAUACCGCAUAAGACCACAGCACCGCAUGGUGCAGGGGUAAAAACUCCGGUGGUAUGAGAUAGACCCGCGUCUGAUUAGGUAGUUGGUGGGGUAACGGCCUACCAAGCCGACGAUCAGUAGCCGACCUGAGAGGGUGACCGGCCACAUUGGGACUGAGACACGGCCCAA